ensembl:snRNA U1 U1 spliceosomal RNA
AUACUUACCUGGCAGGGAGACACCAUGAUCAGGCAUGUGGUUUUUCCCAGGGCAGGGCUCAUUUCCUGCGCUCCAGCUGUGCUGACCCCUGCGAUUUCUCCAAAUGUGGGAAACUCGACUGCAUAAUUUGCAGUAGUUGGGGACUGCAUUCAUGCUCUCUCUUG